rnacentral:rRNA from 1 species
UUACGAUUUGAUGCAAGGUUAAGCAGUAAAUGUGGAGCCGUAGCGGAAGCGAGUCUGAAUAGGGCGUUUAGUAUUUGGUCGUAGACCCGAAACCAGGUGAUCUACCCUUGGUCAGGUUGAAGUUCAGGUAACACUGAAUGGAGGACCGAACCGACUUACGUUGAAAAGUGAGCGGAUGAACUGAGGGUAGCGGAGAAAUUCCAAUCGAACCUGGAGAUAGCUGGUUCUCUCCGAAAUAGCUUUAGGGCUAGCCUCAAGUGAUGAUUAUUGGAGGUAGAGCACUGUUUGGACGAGGGGCCCCUCUCGGGUUACCGAAUUCAGACAAACUCCGAAUGCCAAUUAAUUUAACUUGGGAGUCAGAACAUGGGUGAUAAGGUCCGUGUUCGAAAGGGAAACAGCCCAGACCACCAGCUAAGGUCCCAAAAUAUAUGUUAAGUGGAAAAGGAUGUGGCGUUGCCCAGACAACUAGGAUGUUGGCUUAGAAGCAGCCAUCAUUUAAAGAGUGCGUAAUAGCUCACUAGUCGAGUGACACUGCGCCGAAAAUGUACCGGGGCUAAACAUAUUACCGAAGCUGUGGAUUGUCCUUUGGACAAUGGUAGGAGAGCGUUCUAAGGGCGUUGAAGCAUGAUCGUAAGGACAUGUGGAGCGCUUAGAAGUGAGAAUGCCGGUGUGAGUAGCGAAAGACGGGUGAGAAUCCCGUCCACCGAUUGACUAAGGUUUCCAGAGGAAGGCUCGUCCGCUCUGGGUUAGUCGGGUCCUAAGCUGAGGCCGACAGGCGUAGGCGAUGGAUAACAGGUUGAUAUUCCUGUACCACCUAUAAUCGUUUUA